rnacentral:rRNA from 1 species
UACGUAGGGGGCAAGCGUUGUCCGGAUUUAUUGGGCGUAAAGAGCGUGUAGGCGGCCUGGUAGGUCAGCUGUGAAAACUCGAGGCUCAACCUCGAGACGUCGGUUGAAACCACCUGGCUAGAAUCCGGAAGAGGAGAGUGGAAUUCCCGGUGUAGCGGUGAAAUGCGCAGAUAUCGGGAAGAACACCCGUGGCGAAGGCGGCUCUCUGGGACGGUACUGACGCUGAGACGCGAAAGCGUGGGGAGCGAACAGG